GACGAACGCUGGCGGCGUGCUUGACACAUGCAAGUCGAACGAGACGAUUGGAAGCUUGCUUUCGAAAGUCGAGUGGCAAACGGGUGAGUAACGCGUAGACAACCUGCCUUUGAGAUGGGGACAACAGUUCGAAAGGACUGCUAAUACCGAAUGUUGUAUAUUUUCCACAUGGAAGAUAUAUUAAAGAUGGCCUCUAUUUAUAAGCUAUCGCUCAAAGAUGGGUCUGCGUCUGAUUAGCUGGUUGGUGGGGUAACGGCCUACCAAGGCGACGAUCAGUAGCCGGUCUGAGAGGAUGAACGGCCACAUUGGGACUGAGACACGGCCCAGACUCCUACGGGAGGCAGCAGUGGGGAAUCUUCCACAAUGGACGAAAGUCUGAUGGAGCAACGCCGCGUGAGUGAAGAAGGGUUUCGGCUCGUAAAGCUCUGUUGUCGGGGACGAAUGUGCAGUAUUUGAAUAAAGUACUGUAAUGACGGUACCUGACGAGGAAGCCACGGCUAACUACGUGCCAGCCGCCGCGGUAA
rnacentral:rRNA from 1 species